UGUGUUGUGGUUCUACUGGUGUUACUGGUUCUGCUGGUGAGACGAUGUGUUCACAGGAAACCUGAAGCAGAUCAACAAGCUGGAGAAGAUGACAUCAUCACACGUGUCAUGUACCAUGCUGUCAAAAUACAAAGUAGAGCUGCAGUCUAUUCAGAAGUGAGAACUGAAGACAUCACUUACCAGCCAGGAAGCAUCAGAACAAAGAAGGCCCAGGUAAAACUGCUCUUUACUUUAACUUUGGAUAAAGGUCACUCUGCUUCCAGGCAUCCUCCUAACCUAAGCUAACCAAAUCACAACACGAUUCAAGUUCAGAUCUCAGAUUUGUGAAGGAUAUCACACUCACACUUCUCAUCUCAAAAAAAGCAAACACAUAAUAUAUAAAAACAAAAAACCUGUUCCUACAAAAAGAGACAUGGACAGAAAAACGUUAGAUCAAUGAUACAGGUGCUGUCCUCCUUCUCUUGAAACAACAGUCAAGAGUUUGAUGUUACAUAACUUGUAAGAUUUAAAGACAUUUUGUAAAUCUAAUUGGAUUGACUGACUGACUACAAACAAAAAAAAGCCUCCUGAUAGUCACACCUUUGGUAUCCCUUUCAAAAUCCUGUCACCUUGUCCUCCAGUUGUUGCAUUUACAAGCAACAGCUGAAGAAAACUUGACCUCUGAUCUUGACCUUGGAGGUUAAUGAUACUGAGAUCUGAACUGAUCCAAGAGUGUCAGUAGAUGUGUCUAUGGUAUCAAUUUGAAGCUCAUAUGCCACCCUGCUCAAAUUAUCACAUUCACAAAAUUAGGUGUCCACACUGUCCGCCCACCAGGGUGACAACAAUACCCCAUCAGCCUGUUACAUCUGAGAGGUAAAAACUAUUUUGCACAGCAGGAAAAGCAGAUUCUGACAGCAGCCUGGUCCUGUUUCUAUAUAAGCUAAUAAUGAUUAUCCCCCAGGGUUGCAGUUUUGUGAUGGUUAGCAGUAUUUCCUAACAGCAGAAAGGUAACAAGCUAAAAUCCAUGUGCUCUUAUGUGUGGAUGUGCAUGUUCUCUUGCAUAGUCCAAAGACAUCCAUGGGUUUAUUUUAAUUUGUGAUUUCAAACCGAACGUAAGUGUGAAUGUGAGAGUUUGUUUCAGGUCUUUGGGUUCCAGUUUGACUUUUGGGAACUUCAAAAAGCUCUGUGAUCUGAGCUGGUUCCCAGUAAAGUCUGAACUGGGACUGUGUGUGAUGCAGAGAGGUGGAGAUUGGAG